GGGCUCUUAGCUCAGUUGGCAGAGCAUCGGACUUUUAAUCCGCAGGUCGUGGGUUCGAAUCCCACAGAGCCCACCA
rnacentral:tRNA from 3 species